GUACCAGUAAUGGUAUGGAUGAAGGAAGUGGUGUAACAAAGUUCUUGAGCCUACGUACAGAAACUUGAUAAGGCGAUUAGGUGGGUAAGGUUGCUAGACAAACCAAAGCCCAAAAGGUAAACGUAAACCGAAGUUGUAAAUCAAGAGGUUGUGGAACGAAAGAUUAGCGU
rfam:Roseburia sp. CAG:18 genomic scaffold, scf22